rnacentral:rRNA from 1 species
GGAUAACCUGCCCUAAGGUGGAGCAUAACCCCGGGAAACUGGGGAUAAUACUCCAUAGGUUAUAGAUGCUGGAAUGCUUUAUAACUCAAAGUUCCGGCGCCUUAGGAUGGAUCUGCGGUCGAUUAGGUUGUUGUUGGGGUAACGGCCCAACAAGCCUGUAAUCGAUACGGGUUGUGGGAGCAAGAGCCCGGAGAUGGAAUCUGAGACACGAUUCCAGGCCCUACGGGGCGCAGCAGGCGCGAAAACUUUACAAUGCAGGAAACUGUGAUAAGGGAACCCCGAGUGCCCGUAUGGACGGGCUGUUCAGGUGCUUAAAAACCACCUGGAGAAAGGGCCGGGCAAGACCGGUGCCGGCCGCCGCGGUAAUACCGGCGGCUCGAGUGGUGGCCACUAUUACUGGGCUUAAAGCGUCCGUAGCUUGGUCGUUAAGCCUCUGGGGAAAUCUUCCGGCUCAACCGGAAGGCGUCUCAGGGGAACUGGCGACCUAGGGAUCGGGAGAGGUGAGAGGUACUCUGGGGGUAGGAGUGAAAUCCUGUAAUCCUCAGGGGACCACCUGUGGCGAAGGCGUCUCACCAGAACGACUCCGACAGUGAGGGACGAAAGCUGGGGGAGCAAACCGGAUUAGAUACCCGGGUAGUCCCAGCCGUAAACGAUGCGCGUUAGGUGUAUCGGUGACCACGAGUUACCGAGGUGCCGAAGGGAAACCGUGAAACGUGCCGCCUGGGAAGUACGGUCGCAAGGCUGAAACUUAA